CCACCGAGGACAUGCGCGAGUGCACAAAUGCUUCCCACUGUCUGUUCCGGUCUCCAGACAGACAGCUCCCAGUCCGUUCUUACAACCUAAAAAGGUGUCUUGAGCCUCUGAAUAGAAUACCAUAGGAGGGCAGGCAGUGUUGGCCACAAGUAGCUCCCCAUUACUCCCCAGUUUAAACCCAGCAGCUGAAGGAGCAGAGUAUUCUCAAUCUGUUUCAAUGUGUCCUUUAGUCAUUUUACUAAACACAUAAGGUGCGGGUGUGUGUUGUUUUUAACUUAGAGCAGCCUGUGCUCUGUAUUGUGCCUGGAGGGAGAAGACCGGCUUGCUUCAGUCUGCAGGGCUCUCCCCUGAAGUCCCGUGUCUAAGUGCUUGUGCUUGCUUAGUUUCUAUUGUUUGCUAGUGCUCUCAUGCUGUGGCCAGGACUUAUUUUUGCUGCCCAGUAGAGUUACUCUGUGGUUUCCUUGUGUGGUGAACUGCGCUGUGUACAGUCAGAUGUUCCUUACCAGGAUCUGGACUAGUGUAGCCCCACACCCUGCUGCAGGGGACACUUCAGGUCACUUUCACAGGCUCUGGGGGAUUCCGAGGUUUCUUGGGUCAUAGGUACUAUUUGCAUCGGUCCCCGUGUGUGUUUAGGUUUGUACGUGUGGCUCAUUACUCCCGAGAGCACAGGAUAGCUUGUUUUUCUAGGCAGAGACAGGGUUGGAGUACGCGCUCCCCAGGCCCAGACACCGUGGAUACAGCCAAGCCUCGCCGUCCCCACCUAGUGGCUGUCAGCAGAGGUGGUGCAGGGCCUCUCCAUAGCUGCUCGCUCUGUGUGUGGUCCAUGUGUGGAAGCAGCAUUUCUGUUGAAGUCUUAAUAAAGCUUUACCAGUCUUGUGGACUCA
rnacentral:lncRNA from 1 species